UCGAUUAGUGUAUAUUUUGUCAACAAGAGGACAAUGUUUAUCAUAUAACUUAGAAAUAGAGGAAAUGAAACCAUCAUAGGAUACAUCAACAUCAUCAACAUAAACUUCAUUCCAAUUCUGACGUAGUAAAUCUUCCCUUAAAUUGUCAAUGGCUAUUGGUGUUACUUUUCUACUCAACCUAUUAAAAUCCUUUCGAAACACUCGACCAUGUAAUGCAAAAACAGUGAAUACUGGCAGGUGAUCAGUAAUAUCACUUACCAGUAGUCCCGCACUGAGCUUACCGGAUAUAACAUUUGUUAGAAUAUUAUCAAUAAGGGUUGUUGAGUUCGAAGUUAUUCUGCUUGGAUGAAUAAUAGUCGGGAAUAACCCCAUACAAUAUAUGGAAUUUAUAAAUGAAGUAGUUUGUGGAUGAUUGUGAGGAUUUAGAAAAUCAAUAUUAAAAUCACCACAAAUAAAUAAAUGUGCAUUCUUAUUAAUUUUGUUGUACAUUCCCAUAAUUAUUUGUUCAAAGGUAUCAAUAUUUGCUCCAGGAGCUCUGUAUAUGCAACUAACAACCGUAUUAUUUGAAUUUAUAGAUGCAAUUUUGACCGUAACACAUUCCAUAAUAUUAUCAACUUCCACAAAACACAUGUUUUUUAAUUAAUUU